GACGAACGCUGGCGGCGUGCCUAAUACAUGCAAGUAGAACGCUGAAGAGAGGAGCUUGCUCUUCUUGGAUGAGUUGCGAACGGGUGAGUAACGCGUAGGUAACCUGCCUUGUAGCGGGGGAUAACUAUUGGAAACGAUAGCUAAUACCGCAUAACAAUGGAUGACACAUGUCAUUUAUUUGAAAGGGGCAAUUGCUCCACUACAAGAUGGACCUGCGUUGUAUUAGCUAGUAGGUGAGGUAAUGGCUCACCUAGGCGACGAUACAUAGCCGACCUGAGAGGGUGAUCGGCCACACUGGGACUGAGACACGGCCCAGACUCCUACGGGAGGCAGCAGUAGGGAAUCUUCGGCAAUGGGGGCAACCCUGACCGAGCAACGCCACGUGAGUGAAGAAGGUUGUCGGAUCGUAAAGCUCUGUUGUAAGUCAAGAACGGGUGUGAGAGUGGAAAGUUCACACUGUGACGGUAGCUUACCAGAAAGGGACGGCUAACUACGUG
rnacentral:rRNA from 1 species